rnacentral:rRNA from 1 species
UGGGGAAUAUUGCGCAAUGGGGGGAACCCUGACGCAGCCAUGCCGCGUGAAUGAAGAAGGCCUUCGGGUUGUAAAGUUCUUUCGGUAUUGAGGAAGGUUGAUGUGUUAAUAGCACAUCAAAUUGACGUUAAAUACAGAAGAAGCACCGGCUAACUCCGUGCCAGCAGCCGCGGUAAUACGGAGGGUGCGAGCGUUAAUCGGAAUAACUGGGCGUAAAGGGCACGCAGGCGGUUAUUUAAGUGAGGUGUGAAAGCCCUGGGCUUAACCUAGGAAUUGCAUUUCAGACUGGGUAACUAGAGUACUUUAGGGAGGGGUAGAAUUCCACGUGUAGCGGUGAAAUGCGUAGAGAUGUGGAGGAAUACCGAAGGCGAAGGCAGCCCCUUGGGAAUGUACUGACGCUCAUGUGCGAAAGCGUGGGGAGCAGACAGGAUUAGAUACCCUGGUAGUCCACGCUGUAAACGCUGUCGAUUUGGGGAUUGGGCUUAGAGCUUGGUGCCCGUAGCUAACGUGAUAAAUCGACCGCCUGGGGAGUACGGCCGCAAGGUUA